rnacentral:rRNA from 1 species
GCACUGGCUAACUCUGUGCCAGCAGCCGCGGUAAUACAGAGAGUGCAAGCGUUAAUCGGAAUCACUGGGCGUAAAGCGCGCGUAGGUGGAUAUUUAAGUCGGAUGUGAAAGCCCUAGGCUUAACCUAGGAACUGCAUUCGAUACUGGAUAUCUCGAGUAUGGUAGAGGGAAGUGGAAUUUCCGGUGUAGCGGUGAAAUGCGUAGAUAUCGGAAAGAACACCAGUGGCGAAGGCGGCUUCCUGGACCAAUACUGACACUGAGGCGCGAAAGCGUGGGGAGCAAACAGGAUUAGAGACCCUGGU